rnacentral:tRNA from 1 species
UGCUUGGGUAGCUCAGUUGGUAGAGCACUUGCCCGCAAAAGGCAAAGGUCCCGAGUUCGAGUCUCGGCCCGGCAC